UACGUAGGUGGCAAGCGUUGUCCGGAAUUAUUGGGCGUAAAGCGCGCGCAGGUGGUUUCUUAAGUCUGAUGUGAAAGCCCCGGCUCAACCGGGGAGGGUCAUUGGAAACUGGGAAACUUGAGUGCAGAAGAGGAUAGUGGAAUUCCAAGUGUAGCGGUGAAAUGCGUAGAGAUUUGGAGGAACACCAGUGGCGAAGGCGACUGUCUGGUCUGUAACUGACACUGAGGCGCGAAAGCGUGGGAGCAACAGG
rnacentral:rRNA from 1 species